rnacentral:rRNA from 1 species
CCUUACCUACUCUUGACAUCCAGAGAACUUUCCAGAGAUGGAUUGGUGCCUUCGGGAACUCUGAGACAGGUGCUGCAUGGCUGUCGUCAGCUCGUGUUGUGAAAUGUUGGGUUAAGUCCCGCAACGAGCGCAACCCUUAUCCUUUGUUGCCAGCGGUUCGGCCGGGAACUCAAAGGAGACUGCCAGUGAUAAACUGGAGGAAGGUGGGGAUGACGUCAAGUCAUCAUGGCCCUUACGAGUAGGGCUACACACGUGCUACAAUGGCAUAUACAAAGAGAAGCGACCUCGCGAGAGCAAGCGGACCUCAUAAAGUUUGUCGUAGUCCGGAUUGGAGUCUGCAACUCGACUCCAUGAAGUCGGAAUCGCUAGUAAUCGUAGAUCAGAAU